rnacentral:tRNA from 1 species
GGAGCGGUGUCCGAGUUGGUCGAAGGAGCACGACUGGAAAUCGUGUAGUGGGCUAACGCCUGCUCGUGGGUUCGAAUCCCACCCGCUCCGCCA